GAGUCUGCAAGUUGGUCCGUCUAAUGACGGUACUGGCAUUGUAGGCUCUUACCUUCUGGGGAACCAAGGUCCUCUUCACUGAGUGCUUUGGGGAACCAGAACCUUUACUUUGAAAAAAUUAGAGUGUUUAAGGCAGGCUUACGCUUGAAUACAUUAGCAUGGAAUAAUAGAAUAGGACUUUGGUUCUAUUUUGUUGGUUUCUAGGACCAGAGUA
rnacentral:rRNA from 1 species